UCGGGAGCAAAGCCAGGCUCCGGGCUGGGCGGGGGGGAGGGGGGCGGCAGGAUGGUCUCCCUGGGGGGCCUGGAGCCAGCCAGCCAGGCGCUGGUAGUUUACAGCUGUUCUCACGAUGCAGGGGGCAGAAUCCAAGGCUUUCCCAGCCACUGAAGAGGGGCAUCUCCAUCUGUGCCCGUGUCCCUGUGAUGCCACCAGCUCUGUCUGCGACAGGAGCUGCCAAGGGAGGAGAAACCUUCUGUCAUCGUCCUGGGGCAAGGAACAGCCCUCCUGCCACACUCACUGCCUGGAAACCCUUCUCCUGCUUCACAGAAACAGGACCCAGUCUUGCUUGAAGCUGUCCACCCCCGCCAGGCCACAAAAAGCCUCAAAUGUCACAGGGCCACCAACUGCCACAAAGCCUCCGCUGCUCAGAGCGUGGGAGCCCCGAGAAUCAGAAGCCGCUCAGGGGUUCACUGUCAGAGUGUUUGUCCUCCGACUCGCGCACCGGCCCCGUAUGUGGUCCUGCUGCCCUCUGGCCCUUUGGAGCCCAUGUCUACACGGGUCUGCGGAUGCCUGCGGGAGCACCAGAAGUCCUUGCUGAGUUCGGCUGGGGACUCUGAGGCAGCCGAGGUGAGCUGCUGGCCGGGAAAUCCUCAGUGACCCAGUGGAGACACUGCUCCUUUUCUAGGCUGGAGUGGAGGCCACAGGACAGUGAGCCGAGGCCCCACACUACACUUUGGCUUCGGUGUAGCCCUGGUGCUUGCCGGUGGAGGCUGGCUUCUGGCCCGGGCUUGGAUCAACGCGGCCGUGGCCCUGCCUGGGCCUGGCCAAUGCCCUCCUCAGCUGUCAGAAGUGAGGGCUCCUCGGGACAGACACGGAGCCCCGCACACCCCCUCCCGGAAUGCUGGGAAGACUUUUCACAGCCAGAGUUGCCAGAGCAGCCUGAGCGCCUUGGCCACCUUGGGAGGAGGUGCCCCAACUUGCCUAGAGCCUCCGUUUCCCAUCCGUGAGGUAGGAAUCACACCAGCUGUUGACUUCUCAGGAGGGGCAGGUGUAGCUGUGCCUGGCAGAAAGGCAACGGCCGGGUGGGUGAGUGGCAGCCACAUGGCCAGGGCCAGAGCUGUGGCCACCUAGAGGAUGGGCCACCUUUUCCUAAUGUGCACAAAGGCGCCCUGCGGGCCAGUGGUAGCUCUGGGAUUCCAGGUCAUGCUGAACCACUAGCUUCAUCGUUACAGAUCUUCACGCUCUGGAUGAGGCAGGCAGGUUCAGAAAGAGGGAGUCAUCCGACGUGGUGCCAGGAAGGCUUCCUGGAGGAGGGAGGGCUUGAGCUGCGCCUCGCAGGGUCCGAAGCAACGUUGACCACCACGGGCCAAGCCUGGACAACUGACUUCCCCCAGACAGACUGUGACCGCUCUGUGCCUUUCCCAGCAGAGCUGUUUACUUUCCUACUUCUGUAUUUUGGUUCCUGCUGACUCUUCUGUGACAUAAAUGCAAAUGAGACAACAAGCACAACAACUUCAAAGCCAAGGAAGCCUGCGGAGGGGGCUGUCCCCACGGGACCCUGCUGGGCAGGGAAGCUGGGCAACGGGAUGGCCCCCUCCCUCAGUGCCCCCCCCACCCCGGGCUCGGCUCAGCUGGGUGAGGAGGCCUUCAAAGGGCCCCAAGGCCUCUGAGCGACCAGCAGGAGAGGGCAGCUGCGGGCAGAGUUUUGCGCUAAUCGACGAGAACUUCUAGCAUGGCUCACGGCUGGAUUUUCCACAUAAUUUUUUUUUCUUUUACCACUGGGAACUUAAUUCAAAGGUUUUCCUGUGCGGAGCUCCAGAAUAUAAAAUGGAAGCAGGAAUGACCCGGAGCUUACUCCCUAUCCACUUUUUGGACACCUUCCUGAAACACUUCUUGGGCCACCAGUAGUUUGAAAACUCCUGAGCCCCAGGAUGCGACCCAAAUGUUUAAAGCUCUUGCCAACUUUCCCUUCUGCCUGCCCAACACCUCUGCAGCCCCACGUGUGGCCACACCAGGUACUCCCGUUCCUGGCCUUCACAGGUUUUCACACUGUCUGCUUUGUCAUCCCAAAUGCUAAUCUCUCUCCCUUUCUUCCUUCCUCCCUCCCAUUUUUCUCCUGGAAAACUCCUACUCAUCCUUCACGACCCCAGCUAGGAUACCACUUUGUCAGAGAAGCUUUUAUCUUGAUCUCCCUCCACCAGCCACUCACAGAUGUAGACAAAGUGGCCCUUUCUUCCCCUCCCUUUGCUUCGUCCCCAGCCCAGCAUCAAAGUAUUCCUUCUACUGUGUUUGAAGUACCUGAUUCCCUGUUUGUCCCCAUAAGUGUCUAAUCUCCUUCAGAGCCUGCUGUAUUUUCACCUCUGCCUUCCCUAGGGCUGGGAACCCAUCUGCCCCAUAUGGGUGACUGCUCAGUGGUGUCAGGAGGCAGCCACAGGGGCCUCAGCUUACUGGCCUGAAGGUGGGAUUUGGGCCACUUGACGGUGUUUGGAGGUCCAGCUCAGGGCCACCCCUAAGGCCACACAAAGUGGUUGAGCCUGCAUCAUCGCUAAUAUCUGCAUGCAGAGGGAGGCCCAGAGGAUGGAGGAACCCUGGGCUCCCUCGAUCUUUCUGGUGUGGCCUUGGAGAUCCAGGUUUAUAGGCCUUGAGCAGUGUAAGGCUCUUCAUCUUAGCUCUGGCCACUGCCGCCCCCCACCCCAGGCCCCCCAGCCCAGCAGGAAAGAGGCAUCUCUGUUCCAGGACUCUGGGGCAAAAGGUCACUUCCUGGGCCAGGGUAACCAUGGCAGCAGUGUGAUCGCCUCCCUUCCCCUCUCCCCCAGCAGCCUCAGACUAGCCAACUGUCUUCACAAGCUCUGAUUUUGUCCAAAUCUACAGUUUCAGGCUGUGGAAGGUCUUGCACCAGUUUCUGAGCCCCGGCCAGAUUCCCAGGUGUCCCGGGCAGUGUAGGAUCUGCCGCUUACUCAUCCCGGGGGCUUCUGUAAGCUGCUGAGCCCUCUGCUUCAGUUCCCUCAGCUACAAGGGAAGGAAGCUGAUUUUGGUGAGAAGUGAUCAAAACCGGGCUGAAGAAGCCUUAGGAUUCCACAGACCUAAGUGUACUUUUGCCAAGCCCACUACUUUGCACGUUUUUUUGUUUUGUUUUGUUUUGUUUUUUGUUGUUGUUGUUGUUUUUAAUGUCAGACAUGUUAGAGCUCUGGGUAGGAUUUUUUGCUUGAGAAAAGAAUAAAGAUUUUAGCUGAUUAAAAAAAACCA
ensembl:lncRNA